rnacentral:misc_RNA from 1 species
CACGUACAUACACUCAUACCUCAUGACGCAUCGGUACACGAGUGUGUCUAACACGACUUAUAUCCUCUAUCCUCUCGGUUUCAUGAGUCGUUGUCGUUUCGAAAAAGAACCGAUGUCUGUGCCAGCCAAUGGACAGGUCUAUACUGCAUCCUAAGGAGGUAUGCGGCCUCUGCUAUGGGAGUGGAAGGAAUGGAGAGAGAGAAACAGCUCGCCGCGAAGGAGAGACUACAGUCCGUGCCCGGUAACUGUGAGCGAAAGGGGGGCGAACCUUUUUGAUUCUUUUGUACCUCGACGUGCCAGGAAGAAGGAACCAACUCAAUGUAGCUGGAUGCAACGCGUAUGUAUAUAUUAUGUAGACCGUGGAUGGCGCACGAUGGAAACUGCACACGUGCACACGCGACAAGCGUGACCGCGCGCGGCGCCGAGUGGGUUCGUUCGCGCCCGCCUCGUUCCGUCUCGCGGCUUUCUCAUCGAGCCGGUUCAAAAGGUCCUGUCCAGGAUACGGAGGUGAGAACGCAACAAGCGUAGGCUAUAGGGGAGCGACGCUUAAAUGCGGCUGGGCCACCCUGCAGUCUCCUUUUUUCUCUCCGUUUCUUUGACCUACGUGACUGGUGGUGGCAAUGGUGGGGGCUCGAAAGGACGCGGAAAAAGAGGACUCACGGAGAUCGCGCGAGAAAGUGAGAGGACCACCACAGUCCACCGGAGGAGGAUGUUCCUGAUAGGAUGUGAACGAGAUGACUCGUGAACUCUUCCUUUAACAGGAUGACUGCUACGGUGGCCAUCGAUGGUCCACGUAAUUCAAUUUUUUAGAAUUAUUACG